AGGGACUUCGGGGGUGGGGGGCUGAGGGGAGUGAAUGGCGGUAGACAGACUCCGAAGAAAGGUGCAACAAUCACGGUACUCGUGUCCCGAGUCCUGCUCCGUCCACCAAGCACUCCGUCCCCUCGGUUUCCUGCCUGUUUGCAGGUUUGUAGGUCUGUUGGCCCAUAGGUCGCCUCAAACGUCGUGCCGAGGGAAGGAGCAAACUGCCCUGGGACUCUGCAGGUCCGUGUGAAGACUUCUUUCAGUCUUCUGCCAGACUGUCCACCAGUCUCCGCGGAAGGAGUGCUGACAACAGAAGACAAGGGAAGAAGAAAUUUACCUGACUUUGGUAGAGAUUCAUCGCAGGAGAGCUACAGGAGCCCAGGAGAGGCUGAAGAGGACUGCUGCUCCACCAUUACUCACCCUGGCCCUCAGAAUCCUCCUGAAUCAGGUGGAACAAGGCCCUCUCCUGUCCUGUCCAAAGGCUGGCACGGACUUGACCAUGGGCAGGGCUCGGGAAGUGGGUUGGAUGGCAGCAGGACUGAUGAUUGGGGCUGGUGCCUGCUACUGUGUUUACAAACUAACCAUAGGAAGAGAUGACAGUGACAAGUUGGAGGAGGAGGAAGAGGAAUGGGAUGAUGACCAGGAGCUGGAUGAGGAGGAACCUGAGCUUUGGUUUGAUUUCACAACUAUGGCUCGGCCCUGGAAUGAGAAUGGGGAUUGGACUGAACCAGGGUCCCCUGGUAGCACCGAGGACAGGCCCUCAGGUGGGGGCAAAGCCAACCGAACACACCCAGUAAAACAGCGCCCAUUCCCCUAUGAACAUAAAAAUACUUGGAGCACUCAAAGCUUUAGAAAUUUCAGGUGUGUACUUGACCUCUCUAAGUGUCCUUUCAUUCAGG